rnacentral:miRNA from 1 species
UAGGUUGGUGAUCAUAUAGGAU